GAUGAAGAACGCAGCGAAAUGCGAUAAGUAAUGCGAAUUGCAGAAUUUCCGUGAGUCAUCGAAUCUUUGAACGCACAUUGCGCCCAUUGGUAUUCCGAUGGGCAUGCCUGUUCGAGCGUCAUUAUCCCCCCUCAAGUCCCCUGUGGACUUGGUGUUGGGGAUCGGCGAGGCUGGUUUUCCAGCACAGCCGUCCCUUAAAUUAAUUGGCGGUCUCGCCGUGGCCCUCCUCUGCGCAGUAGUAAAACACUCGCAACAGGAGCCCGGCGCGGUCCACUGCCGUAAAACCCCCCAACUUUUUAUAGUUGACCUCGAAUCAGGUAGGACUACCCGCUGAACUUAAGCAUAUCAAUAAGCGGAGGA
rnacentral:misc_RNA from 1 species